rfam:Myotis lucifugus cont2.425, whole genome shotgun sequence.
GGUGGUUCUUGGGUGACACAUCCAGAAUCGGGCUCCCUCCUCUCUGGUUCCAGGUGUGUCACCUGAGAACCGCA